GCGGGAUUAGGCAUUUACUCCAGGGGACCCUCUCGGGUUUGGUCGCAUUCUCGUUGAUUUAUCUCACAUCUGAACGCGAUUUCUCUUCCUUUCACCAUUGCCUCUCGUUUCGGUGCCAACGCAAGGGCAUUUAACCGGUAAAGGGGACAUUUGCAAACGUUUUACAAAAAGUAUGGACCAGUUGUAGAUCAAACAAACAGUGAACAACUAAACAGCCGAAGAACGACCGAAAAGAAGGAUCACGAAAGGGGAUGCUGGACCAAUGAGAACCAUGUGCAUCAUGUGGUCAGUUGUCACGGCUCUCCUUGUCGCCAUGCUCUUCGGUAUCAUCCAAUCAGAACUGCAGGAAGGAGCCCUCAUUCCAGAUACAGACACCCAGGAUAAGGCCAGUGAAAAGGCUGCCCCCACCCCCUCGUCUGAACAUGAGGAUG